AACGAACGCUGGCGGCAUGCCUAACACAUGCAAGUCGAACGAGACCUUCGGGUCUAGUGUCGCACGGGUUCGUAACGCGUGGGAACCUUCCCUUAGGUUCGGAAUAACUCCCCGAAAGGGGUGCUAAUACCGGCUAAUGUCUUCGGACCAAAGAUUUAUCGCCUUUGGAUGGUCCCGCGUUGGAUUAGCUAGUUGGUAGGGUAAAAGCCUACGAAGGCGACGAUCCAUAGAUGGUAUGAGAGGAUGAUCAGCCACACUGGGAGUGAGACACGGCCCAGACUAGUACGGGAGGGAGGAGAGGGGAAUAGAGGAAAAUGGGGGAAAGGAUGAAAAAGAAAUGACGGGUGAGUGAUGAAGGCCUUAGGGUAGUAAAGCUCAAGUACACGGGAAGAUAAUGACAGUAACGGGAGAAAAAGCAACGGCUAACUACGUG
rnacentral:rRNA from 1 species